GACGAACGCUGGCGGCGUGCCUAAUACAUGCAAGUAGAACGCUGAAGAGAGGAGCUUACUCUUCUUGGAUGAGUUGCGAACGGGUGAGUAACGCGUAGGUAACCUGCCUUGUAGCGGGGGAUAACUAUUGGAAACGAUAGCUAAUACCGCAUAACAAUGGAUGACACAUGUCAUUUAUUUGAAAGGGGCAAUUGCUCCACUACAAGAUGGGCCUGCGUUGUAUUAGCUAGUAGGUGAGGUAAUGGCUCACCUAGGCGACGAUACAUAGCCGACCUGAGAGGGUGAUCGGCCACACUGGGACUGUGACACGGCCCAGAGUCCUAGGGGAGGCAGCAGUAGGGAAUCUUCGGCAAUGGGGGCAAACCUGACCGAGCAACGCCGCGUGAGUGAAGAAGGUUUUCGGGUCGUAAAGCUCUGUUGUAAGUCAAGAACGGGUGUGAGAGUGGAAAGUUCACACUGUGACGGUAGCUUACCAGAAAGGAACGGCUAACUACGUG
rnacentral:rRNA from 1 species